CUUGCAAUAUGGUAUAAAAUUCAUGGCAUCGAGUUCUGACAGAAGCAGCCAAGGCAAUGUGCAGCUCAGUUCAGGUUUGCUGUACAGACAUUAUCUAAUUUUAAAGGGAAUAACUCCAGCGUGGGCCAUUGCUAAGCCUGGGGGAAGAGGCCAUGCACUGACUUGUGCACAUGGUUUGGUAAAAUGGUAGUGGUUGGGCAAGGGGGAAGGAGGUGCAGAAGGGAUCAGGAGCGGUGUUUGGAAGGACUAGGCUGAGUCUGAGAGCUGCUACUUUUCUUUUCCUACAGUACAUGGAUAUUGCUGCCACAGGACUAAAGCACAUCUUGCUUACUUUGCAAUGGAACUUGAGAUUAAAAGGAGCAAUUAAAUAGGUAUUCAGAAACUGUUUUUUCUCUAUCUUAGGAAAAUAAAACAGAAGAAAAAGACAACUGCUAAUCAUACAAGCUAAUACUCUUUUACUUAAGAGACCUAUUCGUCUUAUUGCAAAACAUAAUGCUGUCCAAAGAUUGCUGAGCUUGCACUGAAGGGGUAAAGCUGAGUGCUAGAAACACUACAGUUGUGUUGGAAUAGUCCUUGGUGGGGCUGGAGCACCUCUGCACACGCAGGGGUUUUCUCCUAUAUGCACAUAUGCACACUGCUAUGCACAUUGCAUAUUGCUAUUCCUAAUCCUCCAAGGUAAGUAUCAAACCAGAGCCCUAACCAUCUAAGUAAGACUGCUAAAUAAGAAGAGUGACAAGCAGGUUAUAGGUCCCCAUCCUGGACUUUGAUCAGGCUUCCACUAUAGACUACAAUAUCAGUCAGAGUUUUAUCCCUUGUUUUGUCAACAAAAGUCACUCUGUGGAUUUAGUUAUGACAAAACUGUGCAUUCACCAGGGUCACUUAUUUCACCCAUAUUACGCAGCAAAAAUGAAAUUCUGCCAGAAUAAACAAGUCUACACCAUGUGCUAGAACAGCUUACUAGAAAUAGCUACUCCAAGACAGCUCUCUGCUAUGGCCCAUGUUUAUCACAGGGAAACUGGGAGAUCUUGCUCUAGCACAGAUCAAACUGCAAGACAUAAGGUCAGACAGCAAGAGUCUGGGAAGUGUCCCAAUUCCUAAUGUUACUUCUCUUUGCCUUAGUAGCAAAGAGGUAUUGGCAGCUUUAGUCACGCUGCCUCAUGCAGAGGAGCUACGGACCAGGGGAAGCUAACUGUUUCUGUCUGGUUUAAUUUGACCACUUAAACAGUUAAUCCCUUUGUAAUGUCAUUUUUUGGCAUAGACAUCAUGUCUGUCUACUUCUGAAAAGAUCUUUUUAUUAAUACAGCUUUUUAACAUAUGAAACAGUUUGCAUCAGCUUACAGUGCCUUAGCAGCAGCAGACCACUGUCGGUAGGUAUGCACACAGACAGGCACACAGACAUAGGCAUCUAUCCAUCCACAUUACGUCUAAACAUCCCUUGCUCAGUCCCUUCUAAUUCUUCUGAUUUAUUUAUUUGGUCACUUUUUCCAGUGUUUUCAUAUCUUUUGUUUCAUGGACAAUGUUGCUACCUUGUUCCAGUAUGUUUAGCUCAGGCUCUGCUUUGCUUUAAAUCCUCCCUUACUUGUAAAUAGUGAACAUACUGGAGGGAGUCCAAUGAUUAAGGGACUGGAGCAUCCCAAAUGAGGAAAGGCUGAGAGAGCUGGGAACGGUUUCCCUCAGAGUAGAGAAGGUUCUGGACAGAUAAUAUAUAUAUAAAUAUCUGAAAAAGAUGGAGCCAGGCUCUUUUUCGUGGUGCCCACUGAUGAUAUGAGAUAACACACAUAAACUGAAACACAACAAGUAGUAUCCUAAUAUAACCCUGCCCACAGCAGGAAGGUUGGAACUAGAUGAUCUUUGAGGUCCCUUCCCAAAUUGUUAUAUCAUUCUAUGAUAAGGAAACUCUUCUUUACUAUGGGAAUGACUGAGCAAUGGAGCAGGUUGCCCAGAGAAUUUGUAGAGUCUGCAUCCUUGGAGAUGUUCAAAAGCUGCCUGGACACAUGCUGAGCAAUGGGCACUAGGAAGCCCUGCAUGAGCAAAAGAAGACUUUACUCAAUGACCUCCAGAGUGCCUUCUGAAAUCAGCAGGUGUGGGAUUCUCUGAAAUAGGAUCGUUAGAUUAGCACUUAGGUUCAGCAGGACAACGGUGCAGGGAAUUUGUUUGUUUUGUUUUGUUUCUCAGUAUGUAAAGAGUUUGUGACAACUUCAGGGCACACUGAAAUAAUUUCAACUGCAGUAGCAACCACUUGCAGUAGACAGCAUACAGGGAAACGACUUUCAUAAUUAAUAUCAACAUGCACAGUCCCGAUGCUGAGAAAGCGGCAUCUGUAACUAGACAAGUAGACGGGAGCUGCUCUCUUCCACGGUUCUUUUAUUUAUCCCUGCAUGAAAGUGAUGAAAUGUCAUCUGUUUUUGCAAGUGUGAAAAGAUCUUGCACAGAGGACUCAUGGCUAAGAACGUGCAUGUUGUGUUUUCACAGCAAAAAUAAUGUUGGUUUGCAAUGCCGAGGUAUGUAGUAUUUUUACUAGAGCUGUGAGAGAUUAAAAAAACUGCUGAGAAGACAUGGCCCUAUAUGUCUCUUUUUUUCCCCCUUUCUUUUCUAAUUAAUUUAAAUUAAUUUAAUUUAAGUCCACUCAGAAAUAUAGUCAGAAGUAGAGGAGGAGAGGGAGUGGAACAUAGACAAAUAGGGGAAUGAAAACUGAGCAUGAUUUAAAUAGGAAAAUCAAGUUUCACCUGCACCUGGAGUAAUUGUGGAAAGACAUGGCUUUCCAACAGAUGAUGAUUUUUUUUUUUAAGUACCUGUAAUGGGCCAUGGGAAGGUGAUGGAGUAACAGAGUAGCUGAACUUGACUGAAAAGAUGUUUAAUUUAGAGAUUGCCAGAUACCCUUCUGGCAACUUCAUAUUAAGGUUUUUAUAUGCUGUGGGGUAUUUCUUGUUCUCUGGGUCAAAUUUGGAUAUAUUCUUACGGUAGAAUGUAUUGUGUGUCAGCUGACAUGCAUUAUGCUCUAUCUAUGUCUUGUGAAAGUAAAAUUAGGCAAGCAAGAUGUUCUGAGGCAAAAUUUGAAUAAGAUACAUUAGAAUUAAGAAAACAGAUACAGAAACACGCUUUCAUGGGUUAGAGAAGAAGAUUUAAAACAAGAAAUCUAAAAGGCCUGAAAAUAUAGUAACUGUCCUUAAAUUGUCUCUAGUAAAUUUACUUUCUAAAAGAAGAUAUCCAAAGACUUAAUUGUAUUUCAUGCCCCUAGCUCUAAUGCCACACUGUUUCAGUAUUUAUAUAUGCCCUGUAAAGCUGGUAUAUUUGAUAUGUCAUUCAUUAGUCUGUGCUGGCUUAUUCUUUGAGGUGUGGUAAUUAAGAUCAGUUCUUUAGAGGAUUCAGUUAUUCUGUUUUGGGCUUGUUAAUAUGUUAGUUGUGUAUUCUGAUUCCAAUUGUUUAAUGGUUUCCAUUAAAUAAUGAAUAAAACCCCUUUCGGGAAGCCAGUUAGAAAUGCAUGACUUAUUCAGUGUGAGGUAUCUUCAAAUCUUGGCAGCUUUGGGCUGAGGAAGAAUUGAAAAAUAGUUUUAUCCCCAACCACACAGUGACAAAGUGAUUGGAUUGUUUUAUAUGGUAGUGAAAUUGUUUGUACGGGAAAGUGACUUUGUCUUUGUUACAUAUUUGUUUCAUAAAUUAGAAAAAAAGAUCUAAGGUAAACGUUCAGCUCAUCUGGUUUAUAACAGAAACCAUGACUAUAGUGGAUAGAGUACAAAGAUGAGCUCAUCCAAGAAUUCUUCUGAAACAGCAAUUUAUCACCUAGGUAAUUUUAAAGGUUCCUCGUGUCAUUGUAAGGGUGGCAGACGCAGACUUUAAAAAAAUGUUCUUUAUAGUACCUGAAUAGGCUGAUGCUUAAAACAGAGACUUAACUAAUGAUAGACUAUGCAUCUUGUAACUAUUGGCUAAAAAUCUUCAGCAUCUGCACUGAAAUGGAUCACAGAAAAUUGUCUCUUCUUCCAUUCAACAAGGAUGACUUCCAGUAUCAUUAGCAAUUGUUCCCAAGAAAAUUCUGGUUUGGAUUAUAUUAUAUAUACAAUGGGAAUUUAUUUGAGGUUUCCCAAGUUUACUAGUUCCAUUCCCAUGAGCUAACAGACAGUAGAUCAAGUGCUUAACAGUCAAGAAUUCCCAUGGCAAAUAUCCACCAACGUCCCUUUCAUCUGAUGCAAUGGCAUAGUGCCCAUUCUUCUGCUUCAUCAUUCUCCUUCAGUAUACUCAGAGUUCCAGGAAAGGGCCAUAUCAUGUAUUAGACUUCGCGGGAGACAUGAAGCCUAAUCUUUAAAACCUUAUGGUUCUAUUUCGUUUUUUUUUGCUGACCACUGGAAACAAUUACAGAACAGACAACACAUGAGAAUGUCUGACAGCUUCUUCAGUUUCUUUGCGCUCAAUUGCUUAAUGAGACUUUAGGUUUAUGCUUAUUGCAAUCACAGUACCAGAGACUUCAUUUGCAUCUACAUCUUGCAAAUGGACAAGAACUGGGUAACUGAUGGUCAAGAUGGCUCUCGUGAGGGCACCUGAAACCCACCUGUUUGGCCUGGACAUACCUGCUGAUAUUGGCACUAUGGAUCUCACAUCAAGGGCAAUCCGUCAUCGAGCAUGAAGAGAGAUGUGGAUCAAAAAAGCGGGUGACUACAUUCAGCCAGAGGCAGCCUAAACCGUGAUAAGCAACUCCUCUGUAUGGACCAGACAAGGGGCUGCAGGAGGCAUUACUUUCAGAGUGACCUGUGUAUCUCCACAACGAGCUUCUCUUCAGUGCUCAGAACAGAUAUCUACUGUCAGGAAAUCUACUUUUUCGGAAGAUUCCACGCAUGUUCCAAAAACUACUCCAGGAAUACUAUUCUGAAUUAUGUUCUGAAGAUGUACAGGAUCUUUUCUGGUUGGUUUGGAGACAGCAAAGAAGGAAUCAACCUAAUAUUACACCAGCAGGGAUAAAACUGCGCAGGGACUGUUCUGCUGACAGAUCUAUUUGGAAAUACUGCAAAUUCUGGCCGUGUCUCAUCACUCUCCAAAGGCUAAAAAGAGCACAUGUCCUGAAGUGGCUAAGCAAACUGAUGACUCCCCUAUACCACAGGAUCACCAGAUGUUCUCUGCAAGCAGCUUAAGGAUUGCUUCUCACUGCUGGGCCACAGGAGAGAGCUGAGGAUCUGUCAUGGCUUUAGAAAUUAUUUUCCUUGUAAGCGUAUUCCAUGGCUUUGCUUUUUGUCCAGAAACAGAGGCCUAUUUGACAAUAAAGCCUUUAAUAUAUACGAACAGAGAUGAGUGUUGAGCUUCCCUUUAUCUCAACAAAUACUAGGGCUGGUCCUUCUACAAAGCCAACAAAGUUUGUCCCAGAACUGGAAGGAUCCAGUUUUUUUCUUUUCUGUCUGACUCAAAGGUCUUUAAUUCCAGCUAGAAUUGUAAAGACUUUGGAGGAAGGAAGACAACAAUACCUCUAAGCAACAUAGUAGAAGAAGCAAGGGUGGAGAACAGCCCUCAAAGGGAUUAUAAAACGAAGUGAAAAGGAGCCAAGACAUUGCCCAUAAGAUGUUAUCCUUGUGGGACUGUGAGAAAUGGAAGAGAAACUCAGUUCUUUCUCAAUAGAUAUUACUCCAAAAGCACCCAAGGAACCUCGUGGUAUCUGAGCUCCCAGGCCUGGGCCUUCCCAGCAAGCACACUGCUGAUGGGACAGCCUGGGCCUUCACAUACCAGCACACACCAUGAGGAAAUCAGCUCAGCAGUUCUCUUUCCAAACACUGUGCUGUCACGUCCAUCUUCCCCACAUGUCAAAAAUUACAUUUAAAGUACUGAAAGCUAGCAACUCUGGAAAACAAUAAAAUCCAUGAAAUGGUGACUGAUAAGACAAAAAUGCAGCAUUUAGCUCUAACUGCCCACAAUUAAGUUUUCAAAGGCCUGACUGCUGACUGAAAAUAGUCAUCUUCUCCCAGUCAUCUUCUCCCAGGUUUUUUGCUUUUUUUUUUUUUUGGAACAAAUUUGACAAUUAAGGGUGAUAUUCCUUUGUCAAAACAAGUCUUUUGUUAAGUAUUUAACAGGCACUUUAGAGAUUCUGGCAAAGCACUGAAUUUUUGUGCAGUUUUUCUGGAGAAGAAACCUACAUUUUGCCAAAUGCUGUAAACUGGGAUGAGAAAACAACUCACAGCUUUGCUUCUGGAUUUAAGAAAAUAGUGAAUCGGCACAUAGGAUGAAGAGAGUAUAAACAAAGACAGUGUUUUUAAAGCCUGAUCAAAGCUAGAAAAUAGAUGCAGCUUUAAAGGUGAGAUCUGCAUACCACAAGAUGAGGACAAUAGGACCCAUCCAGACAGCUAAUGUGAUUCGCCAAUGUAAGCUGCAAGACUUCAGUUCUCGGUUGCAGUUGCAUUAUUACACCCUAUGCUCUGUAUGGGGAAACAAUUAAAACAGGUUUGGCAUACUAGAGGUAAGAAAGCCCAAGUGACUGAUGAAGAGAUUCCAUAGAUAAACUCACAAUGUCUACAAAAGGAAUGCCUUUGGCAUGCUAGAUAAUAUUUGAGAUUAAUUAGCAGUUUGUCUAAUAAAGCUGUAGCCAGACAUCUUUAAUCCAAACACCUUUGUAGAGCACAUUUAUAUGCAGAGUGUAGAUAAUUACCAAAAGUAUUAUUUCAUAAUAAGAAAGCCAAAUUCAUUUAUGAAAUAAUAUACAUGAGUUAAUACAUGAAAAUGAAGAAUAAUAUACACUUCCAUGUAACAUAAAAAUAACUGUACAUGCCAGACACUUUUGACAAGAUCUCCUGGAUGCUUGAAAAGCACAAUAAACAUCUGUUUUAUAUCUGAAUGCCAAACCUUAAAAAAGCACUCCUUUGUUAAUACUCUAGCUCCUUAUUCAAACUAAAUUACUAGGUAUUUAUAAAAUUUUAUUCUCUUGUGAAGUAGCAGUAAACAGGAGAGAUACAGAACCCAGUAAAUUGAAAAUGUAGGCUUCAGCUGUCAAAAUGUCACUGGUAAAAUUCAAACUGCUCUGCUGGUAUGAAUUGGCCCAAUGACAUAAACGUACUCACCAUUUGAGGGAAACAUGAAUGAGUUUAGGAGAAAAAC
ensembl:lncRNA